GGAACAGAAAAAAAAAGAAAGAAAAAAAUUGAAUAGAUGAAUCUGCUAUCAAAUUGAAGUAGGACUGAAAUUGCUUCGUUUUCCCCUAGAGGUCAAUCUACAUAGGUCUUUAUAGUCCAUAAAUUAAGCCGGCGGUGAGGUUUGUGUUCUUGAAGAGCGAAGUUGGCCCGGUUGGGCAGGGCUCAGUGUAACAGCUCUGCUCUCCACUAGAUGGCGCUGCUAGACUACUGGGGUGGAUUGUUGCAGUGCUCAUAGGUGCGUAUGCGCAUGCGUGGGAGCGGUGAAAAUGGCGCCACCCAGCUACCCAGUCUGUUUUCCCCGAUCAGCAAUGGCGCACCCGUCCUCUGUCUUCAGCUCUCGUCCACUCCCCGCUUUUUCCCUCUCCGUGACCAGGCCCCAGGCAGACCUCUCUCCUGAGUUUUGUCUCAGAUGCGGCUGUUUUCCCCGGCCCCUUACUUCCGAAGGACUGUGGCUUUGACCCGUUCCGCCCCUCUGCGGGAGGGUCUCACCGAGCAAUGGCCGAAUGUCGGCUGCACCCAGAAAUGCCCGCUGGACCUUGCUGUUGCCGGUGCCCUGAGACUGCGGCCAGGUGCCAGCCCGCCCCCAAAAAAGACGCAAGACAGUGUAGCAGCAGCGUUUCAGGGAUUAUGGAAAAUUACUGGCACCAGGCUUCACCCUCAACGACCUUGUUCCAGCACCAGCAAAUGUGGCCACCUUCCGGGGUCUGCUGGGACCAGGUGGCUUCAACAGUCUCUACCAAAUGUCCUUCCAGCAGUGGAACCGCUUCUCCCCGUGUGGCCCGAGAACCUCCCGGACCCCACUCUGCUCCUGGGGAUUUGUCCUGCCCACCAGAGCACCGCCAGCGUGGAGGUCCGAGUGAGUGAAGCUUCAAGGACACUGUAGGGGAGAGCCUGUUGUGUGUUUCCUGGAUUGAGGAGUACAGUGGCAUGACAUUUCUAAGAAAUCUAAGAGCUGGAAGCAAUGGGCUAUUAACCUGAAGCGUCAGAACUGAGGAGCUCCUGGAUCAGGAUGGUGGCCUGGGGAAAUUCCAUAUCCUUCAGAUAAUUUUAGUUCUUCCUUUCAUGCGGAUGCUAUUAUGCCAUAUGAUUUUGGAGAACUUCACUACAGCCAUUCCUGGUCAUCACUGCUGGGUGAACAUCCUUGACAAUGACACAGUCUCUGAUAAUGAUACUGGGAUCCUCAGCCCUGAGGCCCUCCUCAGAAUCUCCAUCGCAUUGAACUCAGAAUCGAGGCCAGAGACAUGUCAGCGCUUUAUCCAUCCCCAGUGGCAGCUUCUUCAUCUGAAUGGAACCUUCACCAACAUGACUGAGCCAGACACAGAGGCCUGUCUGGAUGGCUGGGUUUAUGACCAAAGCUCCUUCCUCUCUACCAUUGUGUCUGAGGUAAGAGGCCCCUUUUACCUCUUGUGAGUACUAAGUCUGGGUAUUUAGAAUGACAGAAUAAGCAUGAUUCAAGUGUUCAGUUAUUGUGUAGGUAUUGCAG